rnacentral:rRNA from 1 species
UACGAAGGGGGCUAGCGUUGCUCGGAAUCACAGGGCGUAAAGGGCACUUAGGCGGUUUCUUAAGUCAGGGGUGAAAUCCUGGGGCUCAACCCCAGAACUGCCCUUGAUACUGAGGAGCUUGAGUCCGGGAGAGGUGAGUGGAACUCCGAGUGUAGAGGUGAAAUUCGUAGAUAUUCGGAAGAACACCAGUGGCGAAGGCGGCUCACUGUCCCGGUACUUACGCUGUGGUGCGAAAGCGUGGGGAUCAAACAGG